AAAAAUGGAGGCCUAAAACUAAAUUUCAAACGGAAUCCCCAUGACAAACGCAAGAAACACGAAAGCAAGAACCGGAAGGAACAGCCACGCCAAUAUACAGAGCGAGCCAGCACACAGUUUUUUUUUCAUACGGCUGGUCUGCAAUUAGGUGCCUCGACUGCUUGCUAGCCGCCGGAUUAAUCUUUCCCUACCCUAAGUUAUGGUGUCAACAAACACCUAUUAUUAUUCGUGCGCACGUUCUGGAGCCGCCUUGGCGUCUCUGUCCCGGACGACGCCUCUUCAGAACGAACUCUGUGAUCUUCGAAGGCGUGCACCCCUCCACCACUUCGGUCCUCCGCCAGUGCAAGAUGAGGCCGCCCUGAGGCGUAUCAGACUGCACCGCGAGGACACCGCCGUGGCUAACCUUUGGUGCCGUGCAUUCACCACGGCGAUGCUCUGAUCAAACCCUCCCCCCUCUUUGUAUAUUACAAAUUUUUUCAGCUAGCCUACUUUUGAUCUGAUUAGGCAUAACACCAUACAAAUAAGACUUUUGGUUUAUUCUGAUGACUUUAAAUCCUUGACUUUCUUCUGUCAAAUCAUUUAUUAACAGUGAACUUGUGUUCCACUUGUACACUUACCUAGAAAUAUAAUGCUUGGCUCUUAACAAACAAUGGUUUCAUUUUCUUAUCCAUUCAUGUUUUAAUAUUCUUCCCUGUGUGCUAGUGCUUCUUUUGACUUUUGUUCAUGGUCCACCUUUUAUGUGCAUAUACAUUUCAGGCUCAGGUUUUAGUGGGAUAUGAUGAAGCUAAAAAGUGGACGACGACCGUUCUAUAAGGAUGUUAAGCUUGUAGACUGCCGUUCAGGCUCAAGUCUUCCACAUUUGGCUGCUCAAGCAAAGUUUGCAGCCAUGAACAUGAAGACUGAAGAUGUCAAUCCUCGUCGACCAGUUCAAGUCAGACGAAGUAGAUGGGCUCUUGGUGAUGUAACCGAGGUGUUGGAUCAUAAUUCGUGGAGGCUUGGGAAGAUUACAGAAGUACUGAAGAAUGACUAUUUUGUCAUCAGGCUAGUGGGUUGCAUCCAACCAAGAGAAUUCCACAUAUCUUGCUUGAGGAUUCCACAUGAUCGCAAGCAGUUGACUGUUGGAGGCAGGAUCAAUGAACUGAAUAAGCCGACCCGAUUUGCUGACUGCUCCUCUCACCACUCAAAAUUUGUGAUGGAACAGGACCAUCAAGCCUAUGAAGAGGUUGAUCACUAUGCUAAGAGGAAAGCAGCCAAUAUCUGUGCUUCCACCGGUGCUAGAGCUGUCAAGAGAAAACUAGAAGCAAGCAGGAUCCCACCUAAUGGUUUAGUCAGAAGAACAGGCAAGGAACAGAAAGUAUCUACACAUGAAUUUCGCCAGUUAACCAAGAACGAGUUGCCUCCAAAGGUGUCUGCUAGGAAUGCCAUCGACGAAGAUGAUCAUUUUCAUAGGCCUUUAAGUAGCAGAUACAACGAUCUGCCUGAGAAACCUCUGCGCACCAGAGAAGAGGACGAGUGCUCGGUGGCUAGCUGCAGCGCGAAUUACACAAGUGGAACGAAAAGGCCUUCGAGCAAUACGGACACUGCUUCUAGUCCGCCAAAGAAGAAUAAGAACGCAAUGGUUAGGUGCAUGAAGGGUUUGCUUGAUCGAUUAGAUUCUGGCAGUAGCAAAGACGUAGAUACAGCUACGCAGAUUCAAGAAAUAAUUGAGACAAAAAGAAAGGAGCAGCAAGCUGCAGAUUUCAAGGAGAUAGACCUGUGUUUGGCACUGGCAAAGGAAUGUGGGGCUACUGAGGAGACAGACGAGUUCUUCGUAGCUUCCCAACUGUUUGCAAGCUGCAAAUUUCAAAGACAUGUUUUCCUAGGACUGUCUUCAAAUGCAGGAAGGAUGGCUUGGUUGAAGAAGCACUGCAAGGGCUGGACUUUUUAAGGACUUUAGUUUAUGUCAUAGGACUGGCUUUUCUAUUUGUGUAUCAUGAAGUUAAGUCUAUGAACUGUUAGUUAUAUUUGGUUUGUGAACUGUUAUGUACGGCUGUGAUGCAUAAACUUUGUGAUGCAUGAAUCUUGUUGUGGUUGUGCUGCAUGAUUUUGCAUGAUUUGUGGAGGUUGUGCAUGAAUCAUUUGCAUCUUAGUUGUCUUGUGAAUAAUUUCGAAGAAGUUGUGUUGUGACCUGGUAACAAAAGGUUUGUUGUCAACUACUUGAUUUUACUGGGUUACAGAGGAUGAAGAAGCACAGGACGCACAAGACGCACAAUGGAUUACACAGUACAUAUUGAAGUGUCGAAAAUGGAGAAUGACUAUUUGUAUUGCUGCUGCAGCUAUGGGUAUGUACUAUCUUGACAAAUAUUGGAACAAAGCAGAUUACAGAAUACCUACUGAGUCUGGUUACCAAUGGGUGAUGAGAUCAUUGGGCAAUAGGACUUACUGCUAUCAAAAUUAUAGAAUGCAUAGGAAUGUGUUUGAUCUUUUGCAUAAUGUCCUAGUUGAGUCCUAUGGUUUGACUUCAACUAGAAGAAUGUCAUCAGUUGAGACCUUAGCAUUCUUUCUGUGGAUGUGUGGAACUCCCCAAGGCAUGAGGCAGGCAGAGGACAGACUAUUUAGGUCCAAGGAAACCUUGAGUAGGAAGUUUGAGAAAGUUUUGAAUUGUCUUAACAAACUAGCUGUUGACAACAUAAGGCCUUUAGAUCCUGAGUUCACUACAAUUCACCCUAGGCUGCAGUCACGAAGAUUCUCUCAUUACUUUGAUAAUUGCAUAGGUGCUAUAGAUGGCACUCAUAUACCAGUUGUAGUUCCAGCAAAUCAGGUUGUGCAACAUACUGGUAGGAAGGGGUACACUAGUCAAAAUGUGUUGGCAAUCUGUGACUUCAACAUGAGAUUCACUUUCGUCGUCGCGGGUUGGCAUGGAUCUGUACAUGAUAUGAGAGUCUUUAAAGAUGCAGUUGACAAAUAUGGCAACAAGUUUCCCCAUCCACCCCAGGCAAGUUUUAUCUUGUGGAUUCGGGAUAUCCCAACAGGCAGGGUUAUCUGGCGCCGUAUAGAGGUACAAAGUACCAUCUUCCUGAGUUUCAGCAAGGUCCUAUGCCAAGAGGUAAAAAAGAGGUUUUCAAUUUUGCACACUCUUCGCUUAGGAAUGUGAUCGAAAGAAGCUUUGGAGUCUUGAAGAAUAAGUGGCGGAUUUUAUUACAUUUACCUAGUUAUCCUAUGCCUAAACAAAGCAAGAUUAUAAUUGCGUGCAUGGCACUUCAUAAUUUUAUUAGAGAAAAUUCAACGACAGAUGAUGAUUUUGAUUUAUGUGAUGAUGAUGAGAACUAUGUUCCCAUUACCUCUGAAGGACCAUCUACGCAGGGAACAAAUGAGUUGACAACCACAACAGUUGAUGAAGACAUAAAUAUGAACCAUUUUAGAGAUUCGAUAGCUGAUGGGUUGUUUGCUAGACAAUAGUUUUUUCUUUAAGUUGUUGUAAGAGAAAUAGUUUGUUUGCUGUGCUCGACAAUUGGAUCUGUUCCAGGCAAUUGUUUGUUCCCAUUAGAUUGUGAUGAGAAAUCAGUUUGCGUUGUAAUACAAACUUUGAUUGUUGAGAAAACAAUUUGAAAUAAUAUAAAACUGUUUUUUUGAACA